rnacentral:rRNA from 1 species
GGUGCAUGGCUGUCGUCAGCUCGUGUCGUGAGAUGUUGGGUUAAGUCCCGCAACGAGCGCAACCCUUGUCUUAUGUUGCCAGCACGUGAUGGUGGGGACUCGUAAGAGACUGCCGGGGUCAACUCGGAGGAAGGUGGGGACGACGUCAAGUCAUCAUGCCCCUUAUGUCCAGGGCUUCACACAUGCUACAAUGGCCAGUACAGAGGGCUGCGAGACCGUGAGGUGGAGCGAAUCCCUUAAAGCUGGUCUCAGUUCGGAUCGGGGUCUGCAACUCGACCCCGUGAAGUCGGAGUCGCUAGUAAUCGCAGAUCAGCAACGCUGCGGUGAAUACGUUCCCGGGCCUU